AGAUGUCCCCUGAUUCUCAGAUGUAUCCAUUGAUCCCUGCAUUGUGUCCAGUUGUGUUCUUGUGUGAGAGUGUCCAUUUGCUGUGAAGUUAAUCUUCUUUGCUUGCCUGAAACAAGCUAUCAGAAGACACCAGAGAGUUGGAGUUUCGAGAAAUCCUGAGCAGACAGAGCCAGGGAAGCUGUCCUGAGCAUAGACCUCCCUGGCACGUCCAUUGAUUGCAAGAAUAACAAAACCUUGUGCAGUAGGUGGCCAUCCAGGGCUCGACUCUGAAAAAGUCUGCAAUGGAUGAAAGCAAUUGUUUUUACUGCUGUUUCCGUAAUGUUAUGAUCCCUUUUAUUACUGGUGUAAUACACUCUAUUCUAGCAGGUCUUUAAGGUUGUUAAUAAAAUAUUAAUGCCUUUUA